CGGCGACGGAAUCGGACGUGUUUCCGAACAAAUACUUUGUACGAAUCAUUUAAUCAUCUCUCACACUUAUUUAUCAAACGAUGCGCAAUCUAUACCGACGCCCUUCGCCACGACGAAGAUCCGUGAAAUCAUGUGCGCCCCUCUGACGACAUAAAAGGACAACGUACAUCGCAUCCUUGCUAAUUGGUCCUGAGAUAUCGUCUGGAGCAUCACGAUUACGCAAUCGUGGAGUUAAAAACAACUAAUGAAAAAUUAUACACUUUUUCGAGCAAUGCCAGGCAAAAACGGCUCGAUGGUCGUUAUUACGAGUGACUGCAAACGACAGCUGCCUAGCGAUAAGAAGACUUACCGGUAGGAAAUUUUCCACGUCCAAACCGUAAGGCUUGUCAGCGCUCAUCGGCACUAAUUCCUCCUUGUCCGU